UGCUAUCUUUGGGUGGGGGCUCCACUGCGAAAACAUCUAGGGCUGCCUGUUGCAAUGAUGAUGAAUGGUGAAGACUGAGUUAUGAUCAAGACAGGCAAGCAUGAGAACCAACAAUAGACACCAGGCAAGAGGUAGUGAUGUAAAGUGGGUUGACUAUAUCCAAACCAAUAUUUUUUUUUUUUGGGUGUACCAGGAUUUCUACCAUCGAACAUAAUGACUAAUCCUCUUGUUGAGUUGUA